GGCGGCGCGGCUCUGGCUGGGGGCGGUGCCCUGGGUCCCUGCCACGCCCGGCGAGUGGGGCGGCCCGGACUGUCCCCCCCCGGGCCUCACCCGUGUCACAGCCCGAGCCUGGGCCGGUGGGGAGGGCCAGGAUUUACCGCCAGCAGCUAAGUCGUGUGUAAAGCCCAGCGGCCUUGCUUAAAGCCCUGCCUCAGCCUUAGACAGAUGAAAGCUGACAACUGACUGAAAAUAAAUGGACUUCUGCUGCAUUUGUGUCUAAACACAGUUUAAAAGAUGGACUUUAAAAAGAAAUGUUUUGAUAAGCAACCGUAUUCUAAAAAAGAAGGCAUCUGUGGUAUCAUACAAUCUCAUUUGCCCAAACUGACAUCAGCAAAGCUUAUCUUCACAUGUAUCAGAAUAACCUAGCCACCAAAAUGUUAUGGGGUGAGCUUAAUUAAUUCAUAUGUAUUAUGACUGUGCAAACCUGUCACAUUAUGUUUUUAAGGGAUGUUUGUGUCUGUUUUGCUUUGUGACUCUUAAGGCUCGUCCUGAGCUACAUUUGACCCUUAUAUUUUAAUAAAUUAAACUAAAAGUGAUAUAA